UACGUAGGGUGCGAGCGUUAAUCGGAAUUACUGGGCGUAAAGCGUGCGCAGGCGGUUUUGUAAGCCAGAUGUGAAAUCCCCGGGCUUAACCUGGGAAUGGCAUUUGGGACUGCAAGGCUGGAGUGCGGCAGAGGAGACUGGAAUUCCUGGUGUAGCAGUGAAAUGCGCAGAUAUCAGGAGGAACACCAAUUGCGAAGGCAGCUCGCUGGGACGUUACUGACGCUGAGACGCGAAAGCGUGGGGAGCAAACAGG
rnacentral:rRNA from 1 species